rnacentral:rRNA from 1 species
CGCCUGUUUGGCAAAAACAUCGCCCUUUGUAAAGUUUUAUCUUAUAUAUGAGGGGUCCUGCCUGCCCGGUGACUUAGUUAAACGGCCGCGGUAUUUUGACCGUGCAAAGGUAGCAUAAUCAUUUGCCUUUUAAAUGGGGGCUGGUAUGAAUGGCAAGACGGAAAUUUANCUGUCUCUUUCUUAUUUUUUGAAUUUAAUUUUUUUGUGAAGAAGCAAAAAUACAGUCGCGGGACGAGAAGACCCUCUCGAGCUU